GGCAAUUAUAACUGGUGGAGCAAGCGGCAUCGGAGCAAGUGCAGUGCAAAUUUUCCAUGAAAAUGGAGCCAAGGUUGUGAUUGCAGAUAUCCAAGAUAACCUAGGCCAAGCCAUCUCCAAUAAGCUUGGUGGUAAAAAUGUUUCCUACUUCCACUGUGAUGUUAGAAACGAAGAUGAAAUAAGCAAUCUUGUGGACGUCACCGUUGCGAAAUAUGGAAAGCUCGAUAUAAUGUACAACAACGCAGGAAUUUUAGAUCGCCCAUUUGGAAGCAUUUUGGAUACUACAAAAUCAGAGCUAGAUCGCUUAAUUAGUGUCAACUUGGUUGGUUCUUUUCUUGGAGCCAAACAUGCAGCCAGGGUGAUGGUUCCCCAGGGCCAUGGUUGCAUAUUGUUCACUUCAAGUGCUUGUACAGUAAUUGGAGGGCUU
rnacentral:misc_RNA from 1 species